GACAGAGGGGGCAAGCGUUGCUCGGAAUUACUGGGCGUAAAGGGCGCGUAGGCGGGAUGGCAAGUCGGUCGUGAAAUCCCUCGGCUCAACUGAGGAUCGUCGAUCGAUACUGCCGUUCUUGAGGAUUGCAGAGGAGACUGGAAUUCCAAGGUGUAGCGGUGAAAUGCGUAGAUAUCUGGAGGAACACCGGUGGCGAAGGCGGCAUCCUGGACCGGCAUUGACGCUGAGGCGGCGAAAAGCCAGGGGGAGCAAACGGGG
rnacentral:rRNA from 1 species